AUCCAGCUGAUGAGUCUCAAAUAGGACGAAACGCGCGUCCUCGUU
rnacentral:hammerhead_ribozyme from 1 species